CCUACGGGGGGCACCAGUGGGGAAUAUUGGGCAAUGGGCGGAAGCCUGACCCAGCAACGCCGCGUGAAGGAAUAAGGCCUUCGGGUUGUAAACUUCUUUUAUUAGGGACGAAGGAUGUGACGGUACCUAAUGAAUAAGCCACGGCUAACUACGUGCCAGCAGCCGCGGUAAUACGUAGGGGACGAGCGUUGUCCGGAAUUACUGGGCGUAAAGGGCGCGCAGGCGGAUAUUUAAGUCAGCUGUUAAAGUCAUGGGCUCAACUCAUGGAUGCGGUUGAAACUGGGUAUCUAGAGUGCUGGAGAGGUAGGCGGAAUUCCCGGUGUAGCGGUGAAAUGCGUAGAUAUCGGGAGGAACAUCAGUGGCGAAGGCGGGUAACUGGACUGUAACUGACGCUGAGACGCGAAAGUGUGGGGAGCAAACAGGAUUAGAUACCCUUGUAG
rnacentral:rRNA from 1 species